rnacentral:rRNA from 1 species
UACGUAGGGGGCUAGCGUUGUCCGGAAUCAUUGGGCGUAAAGCGCGCGUAGGCGGCCAGAUAAGUCCGGUGUGAAAGCCACAGGCUCAACCUGUGAAUGCCGCUGGAAACUGUCUGGCUAGAGUCCGGGAGGGGCGAGUGGAAUUCCUGGUGUAGCGGUGAAAUGCGCAGAUAUCAGGAGGAACACCAAUGGCGAAAGCAGCUCUCUGGGACGGUACUGACGCUGAGACGCGAAAGCGUGGGGAGCGAACAGG